CAGCGCACGACCGCAGCUUCAGUUACACUGCGCAUGCGUUAUAGCCCCGAAGUCCUAGCCUCCUUCAAUAGGCCUUGAUGGAAAACCGGAAAACCAGUGAAGAGGUGAGCUAACUAGACGAUGAUGCUGAUACUCCUCACUGAAGUGGAUUGUAGUCAACGGCACAUUAAACAUGUCGCUCUCAAUCGUCCAGAUUUGCUGUAAAACGAAACCAAGGUUUCCACAACUGACAUUUGAGGCUGCAACUCAGCACAGGAUGCAUUGAAGGCCUGACCUGACUCAUCAUGGAGGAGCUCCAGCCUGAAAGUCACCAUGUGGCAGCAGAGAGAUGCCCUGUCGGAAGAUGGGAUUGUUGAUGCUUAACGUGGCCAUGAGUAGAAAAACAUGCAGAGCAUUUGUCAAAAUCUGUCAUGCUGCUGACCAUCACACACUGGCCCAAAGAAACAUGGUUGCUACGACUGACCUCCAGACUGUGAAGGCCUGAGGAUGUCAUACACACGCUGCUGACCAUCACACACUGGCCCAAAGAAACAUGGUUGCUACGACUGACCUCCAGACUGUGAAGGCCCGCGGAUGCUGCUCUGUGGUGGAUACAGUCAGACACCAUGCAAAAGCCUCGUCUCAUUCCUGCUUAAUGACUGGAGCAACGAGUGACUGCAUAUGAAGCAGGAACAUGAGAAAAAUAGUCAAUUCCUUCACACGUGCUCCACAUGGGAAAGCGGUGUCUUGUGCUAAAAGCUAGCACCACCUGCCCUUGGAUGAUGAUGAUAAUAAUGUACUUUAUUUAUCCCCUUUUUUUCUUCUUGAUUUACACACAAAUGUGGAAAGAUGAAUGAUUUAUACUUAAAGAUGUACCUCACUCUUCUGCUGUAAUAAACUUGUAACUAAUCAGAA